AGAGUUUGAUCAUGGCUCAGAUUGAACGCUGGCGGCAGGCCUAACACAUGCAAGUCGAACGGUAACAGGAAGAAGCUUGCUUCUUUGCUGACGAGUGGCGGACGGGUGAGUAAUGUCUGGGAAACUGCCUGAUGGAGGGGGAUAACUACUGGAAACGGUAGCUAAUACCGCAUAACGUCGCAAGACCAAAGAGGGGGACCUUCGGGCCUCUUGCCAUCGGAUGUGCCCAGAUGGGAUUAGCUAGUAGGUGGGGUAACGGCUCACCUAGGCGACGAUCCCUAGCUGGUCUGAGAGGACGACCAGUCACAUUGGGACUGAGAUACGGUCCAGACUCCUACGGGAGGCAGCAGUGGGGAAUAUUGCACAAUGGGCGCAAGCCUGAUGCAGCCAUGCCGCGUGUAUGAAGAAGGCCUUCGGGUUGUAAAGUACUUUCAGCGGGGAGGAAGGGAGUAAAGUUAAUACCUUUGCUCAUUGACGUUACCCGCAGAAGAAGCACCGGCUAACUCCGUGCCAGCAGCCGCGGUAAUACAGAGGGUGCAAGCGUUAAUCGGAAUUACUGGGCGUAAAGCGCGCGUAGGUGGUUUGUUAAGUCAGAUGUGAAAUCCCCGGGCUCAACCUGGGAACUGCAUCUGAUACUGGCAAGCUUGAGUCUCGUAGAGGGGGGUAGAAUUCCAGGUGUAGCGGUGAAAUGCGUAGAGAUCUGGAGGAAUACCGGUGGCGAAGGCGGCCCCCUGGACGAAGACUGACGCUCAGGUGCGAAAGCGUGGGGAGCAAACAGGAUUAGAUACCCUGGUAGUCCACGCCGUAAACGAUGUCGACUUGGAGGUUGUGCCCUUGAGGCGUGGCUUCCGGAGCUAACGCGUUAAGUCGACCGCCUGGGGAGUACGGCCGCAAGGUUAAAACUCAAAUGAAUUGACGGGGGCCCGCACAAGCGGUGGAGCAUGUGGUUUAAUUCGAUGCAACGCGAAGAACCUUACCUGGUCUUGACAUCCACGGAAGUUUUCAGAGAUGAGAAUGUGCCUUCGGGAACCGUGAGACAGGUGCUGCAUGGCUGUCGUCAGCUCGUGUUGUGAAAUGUUGGGUUAAGUCCCGCAACGAGCGCAACCCUUAUCCUUUGUUGCCAGCGGUCCGGCCGGGAACUCAAAGGAGACUGCCAGUGAUAAACUGGAGGAAGGUGGGGAUGACGUCAAGUCAUCAUGGCCCUUACGACCAGGGCUACACACGUGCUACAAUGGCGCAUACAAAGAGAAGCGACCUCGCGAGAGCAAGCGGACCUCAUAAAGUGCGUCGUAGUCCGGAUUGGAGUCUGCAACUCGACUCCAUGAAGUCGGAAUCGCUAGUAAUCGUGGAUCAGAAACGCUGCGGUGAAUACGUUCCCGGGCCUUGUACACACCGCCCGUCACACCAUGGGAGUGGGUUGCAAAAGAAGUAGGUAGCUUAACCUUCGGGAGGGCGCUUACCACUUUGUGAUUCAUGACUGGGGUGAAGUCGUAACAAGGUAACCGUAGGGGAACCUGCGGUUG
rnacentral:rRNA from 1 species